UUAGAAACCUGGUCUAAAGUGGCUAGUAAAGACAAGACCUCUGUUGGGAGAAAAUCCAUUGCAGUUGGUCAUAACACUUUGAAAUUCUGCACUAAUCAGACCAGUCUUGAUCCCGUUGAGUGUAGUUGGUAUGCGCACAUGUAUUAUUAUCUUCCAUUUCUCAUGGAUGUUUUUAGCUUUUCAGCAGUUUGUUUGCUAAGCAGGCAUUUGCACAUUAGGUGGUGGUUCUAACGCUGAGUAGAGUAUAUUAAAACUCCCUUAAUGCAAUGAGUUUUCUUUCC
rnacentral:lncRNA from 1 species